rnacentral:rRNA from 1 species
GACGAACGCUGGCGGCGUGCCUAACACAUGCAAGUCGAACGGGGCACCUUCGGGUGCUUAGUGGCGAACGGGUGAGUAACGCGUGAGAAACCUGCCUUUCAGUGGGGGACAACAGUUGGAAACGACUGCUAAUACCGCAUAAUGUAUCGAGGGGGCAUCCCUUUGAUACCAAAGCUUAAUGUGCUGAAAGAUGGUCUCGCGUCUGAUUAGCUAGUUGGUGAGGUAACGGCUCACCAAGGCGACGAUCAGUAGCCGGUCUGAGAGGAUGAACGGCCACAUUGGGACUGAGAUACGGCCCAGACUCCUACGGGAGGCAGCAGUGGGGAAUAUUGGGCAAUGGGGGAAACUCUGACCCAGCAACGCCGCGUGAAGGAGAAGGCCCUCGGGUUGUAAACUUCUUUUACCAGGGACGAAGAAAGUGACGGUACCUGGAGAAAAAGCAACGGCUAACUACGUG